UACGGGGGGUGCGAGCGUUGUCCGGAAUUACUGGGCGUAAAGCGUGCGCAGGCGGUUUGGUAAGACAGAUGUGAAAUCCCCGGGCUCAACCUGGGAAUUGCAUUUGUGACUGCCCGACUAGAGUGUGUCAGAGGGGGGUAGAAUUCCACGUGUAGCAGUGAAAUGCGUAGAGAUGUGGAGGAAUACCGAUGGCGAAGGCAGCCCCCUGGGAUAACACUGACGCUCAUGCACGAAAGCGUGGGGAGCAAACAGG
rnacentral:rRNA from 1 species